GAGAUGGGCUGUUCAGAGCUGGAUGGAUACACGGAUGAAUGGAUGGACAGAUGUCGCCUGGACAGACUAAGCAGCAGCUCUGACGCGCUGGGAAUGACAGCGGGCUCCUGACUGAGAUGAAUGAAUCCCUGAAACAGAGGCCCUGUGCAGGGGGCGAUGGGGAGCGACAGCCUCGCCAAGAACUCUAAAUCCUGCCUGGGACUGCAGAGAAUUCCAAGUGGAAAGAUGGAAGGACAAGAGAAGAGAGAAGGCAAAUCUCUGAGUGUGUUUGACUUGAAUGUUGAACUAGAAUUAUUAAUUUAAUCUGUUUGCACACUAUGAUUACUUGGACACCUUCCCCAUUGCUUGUAUAGCACUAACAUAGAAUCCAAUCACUUUUGAAUAUUUCUUGACUUACAUUUUAUUUCUGCUGGAUUUUUGCUUUCACUUAACUGGUUUAGACCUGCCAUCACCAUUAAAGCAGCAGUGAAGUGAUUACUAGUGGAACGAGGCAGAAUUCACAAGGAGUCAAAAACUGACCAAAAUGAUGAGGAGAGGAGCAAAGAGAAGCCAGUGAACUACUGCACACAGAGAGAGCUGUUGUGGCUCACCUCCUCCUGCUACCCCAGCCUAACCACUAGAGGGCAGGAAAGACCGGAGUGCCAGAGAAAGUCUAUCCGCUUGAGAGUGCUGCUUGCAUGCUGAAUUUAGCCCCACUCAUCAGGAGGAAACUCCCAUUAAUAGGUCCUUCUGGUCCUUGAUGGUCCUUCUGCAGCAGAUGAGGGGGACAUCCGGGGACUCGUCCUAACUGAAAAUGGAUAAAGUGUUGUCUCAUUGGGACUCCUUUUCUUUUUCUGAAAGGCAAACUGCAGAUAAAUGUGAAUAACAGUUAGUGACUUCAGAGGAACCAUUGAUCAUUCUGACAGUUGUGAUAGUAAGAUAAAAUAAAUGCACAGUCAUCAUUUUUGGGUUGGUGGUGGUUAAUGCUGUUCAAGGCUGCAGGGGGACUGGUGCCUGUGCCAGCACACACUGGGCAGCUGGUGGGAUGAUUGACAGAUCAUUUAGAGUUCCUAAUUCAUCCUGUUGGAAAAACAGUCUUCUCAAGAGGGCUCUUAUCUCAACAGCUCCUCAGAGCUCCCUCAUAGUUGCCACUAUGUCAGAAACACAGGCCAACUCCAAGAAAUAAAAAAACAUCUGAGUGUUCCACAGCCAUGAUGACACAAACUAUAUACAAAUGUACAUAAUACAGCCAACCAUACGCUUCAUAUGGGGCAGUAAGUUUCCAUGGGCCCCAGUGCAAGAUGCUACCAGGGAUGGCUGCCCGCCCUGCCAGAUGCAAAGACCUGCUCUCAGGGACACAAUAAUCCACAUGAAUUUUGCUCUUGGUACAAAUACGUACUAUCUUCAUAUAUAACUACAUAAUUACUUUGCUAAAAUGUUACUUUCAGAAAUCAUUUAUUAGCGAUAUUUUAUUCAAAAAUAUGAGCAUCUUGAAGCAAAAUGUAAAUUGUUGACUGGAGACUUCAGAGUGAUCGUGUCUGAUCUCCAGUUUAAGAAAGCUGUGACUACAGGAUAUCUAAAAUUGUGAUUUUGUCACAUUUGUUGACGCGAGUCACGUUUAGCCACAUUCACAUGCAGCGCUAAUGUGUCUACACUGUCGAGUUCGUGAAGGUUGACCACAUGACGUAGACCUCACGUGAGUUCCAUAUCUGACGUCGUCUCCAUGUCGCGUGCAGUAAACAGAAAUUUUAUUUUUUAAAAAAUGACCCGGUCUCCAUCUUUGUUCUAUACUUUCAAUGUUAACUCGAUGAUACGGAUGCACCUUGAAAAUUGAUGUUUUUCAAUCACCACAUGAAUAUCCUUAAAUGUUCUUCCUGUCACCUCCACAUUUACAAACGUUAUCAUCUGUUUCCGAAUUAUACACUGAAAUUACUCAGGUUUAAUGGUUUGAUGUAAUAAAUGAAAUAAACAAAAUGAAUUAACCUAUUUUGUAUAUUAUAUAUCAUUCUUUACUUAAUAUAUAAAUAACUGUUAUAGCGGACAGAAGCUUAUAUGUGCUGUAAUAUGUUUUACGUCAUAAAUCUGUGGAUUUGAUGUUUAUUUGUCAUACGGGCUACGUAGUCUAAA